rnacentral:misc_RNA from 1 species
CCGUCAAUUCCUUUAAGUUUUAAUCUUGCGACCGUACUUCCCAGGCGGCGCACUUAUCGUGUUAACUACGCCACGAGCGGGGUCGAAUCCGCUCACAGCAAGUGCGCACCGUUUACAGCCAAGACUACCGGGGUAUCUAAUCCCGUUUGCUCCCUUGGCUUUCGUGCCUCAGUGUCAGGAAUUGUCCAGAGAUUCGCCUUCGCCACUGGUGUUCCUCUCGAUAUCUACGCAUUUCACUGCUACACCGAGAAUUCCAAUCUCCCCUCCAAUCCUCUAGUCAGAUAGUCUUCAAGGCAUUUUCCGAGUUGAGCUCGGAGCUUUCACCUCAAACUUAACCAACCACCUACGCACCCUUUACGCCCAGUGAAUCCGAACAACGCUCGGGACCUCUGUAUUACCG